rnacentral:rRNA from 1 species
UGUUUCGGCUAGGGGGCCAUCCCGGCUUACCAACCCGAUGCAAACUGCGAAUACCGGAGAAUGUUAUCACGGGAGACACACGGCGGGUGCUAACGUCCGUCGUGAAGAGGGAAACAACCCAGACCGCCAGCUAAGGUCCCAAAGUCAUGGUUAAGUGGGAAACGAUGUGGGAAGGCCCAGACAGCCAGGAUGUUGGCUUAGAAGCAGCCAUCAUUUAAAGAAAGCGUAAUAGCUCACUGGUCGAGUCGGCCUGCGCGGAAGAUGUAACGGGGCUAAACCAUGCACCGAAGCUGCGGCAGCGACGCUCAGGCGUUGUUGGGUAGGGGAGCGUUCUGUAAGCCUGUGAAGGUGGCCUGUGAGGGUUGCUGGAGGUAUCAGAAGUGCGAAUGCUGACAUAAGUAACGAUAAAGCGGGUGAAAAGCCCGCUCGCCGGAAGACCAAGGGUUCCUGUCCAACGUUAAUCGGGGCAGGGUGAGUCGACCCCUAAGGCGAGGCCGAAAGGCGUAGUCGAUGGGAAACGGGUUAAUAUUCCCGUACUUGGUGUUACUGCGAAGGGGGGACGGAGAAGGCUAUGUUGGCCGGGCGACGGUUGUCCCGGUUUAAGCGUGUAGGUGUGUGUUCCAGGUAAAUCCGGUUCACUUUAACACUGAGGCGUGACGACGAGGCACUACGGUGCUGAAGCAACAAAUGCCCUGCUUCCAGGAAAAGCCUCUAAGCAUCAGGUAACAUCAAAUCGUACCCCAAACCGACACAGGUGGUCAGGUAGAGAAUACCAAGGCGCUUGAGAGAACUCGGGUGAAGGAACUAGGCAAAAUGGUGCCGUAACUUCGGGAGAAGGCACGCUGACACGUAGGUGAAGUGAUUUACUCAUGGAGCUGAAGUCAGUCGAAGAUACCAGCUGGCUGCAACUGUUUAUUAAAAACACAGCACUGUGCAAACACGAAAGUGGACGUAUACGGUGUGACGCCUGCCCGGUGCCGGAAGGUUAAUUGAUGGGGUCAGCGCAAGCGAAGCUCCUGAUCGAAGCCCCGGUAAACGGCGGCCGUAACUAUAACGGUCCUAAGGUAGCGAAAUUCCUUGUCGGGUAAGUUCCGACCUGCACGAAUGGCGUAAUGAUGGCCAGGCUGUCUCCACCCGAGACUCAGUGAAAUUGAACUCGCUGUGAAGAUGCAGUGUACCCGCGGCAAGACGGAAAGACCCCGUGAACCUUUACUAUAGCUUGACACUGAACAUUGAGCCUUGAUGUGUAGGAUAGGUGGGAGGCUUUGAAGCGUGGACGCCAGUCUGCGUGGAGCCGACCUUGAAAUACCACCCUUUAAUGUUUGAUGUUCUAACGUGGACCCGUUACCCGGGUUGCGGACAGUGUCUGGUGGGUAGUUUGACUGGGGCGGUCUCCUCCUAAAGAGUAACGGAGGAGCACGAAGGUUGGCUAAUCCUGGUCGGACAUCAGGAGGUUAGUGCAAUGGCAUAAGCCAGCUUGACUGCGAGCGUGACGGCGCGAGCAGGUGCGAAAGCAGGUCAUAGUGAUCCGGUGGUUCUGAAUGGAAGGGCCAUCGCUCAACGGAUAAAAGGUACUCCGGGGAUAACAGGCUGAUACCGCCCAAGAGUUCAUAUCGACGGCGGUGUUUGGCACCUCGAUGUCGGCUCAUCACAUCCUGGGGCUGAAGUAGGUCCCAAGGGUAUGGCUGUUCGCCAUUUAAAGUGGUACGCGAGCUGGGUUUAGAACGUCGUGAGACAGUUCGGUCCCUAUCUGCCGUGGGCGCUGGAGAACUGAGGGGGGCUGCUCCUAGUACGAGAGGACCGGAGUGGACGCAUCACUGGUGUUCGGGUUGUCAUGCCAAUGGCACUGCCCGGUAGCUAAAUGCGGAAGAGAUAAGUGCUGAAAGCAUCUAAGCACGAAACUUGCCCCGAGAUGAGUUCUCCCUGAGACUUAGAGUCUCCUGAAGGAACGUUGAAGACGACGACGUUGAUA